rnacentral:rRNA from 1 species
AUUGAACGCUGGCGGCAGGCCUAACACAUGCAAGUCGAACGGUAACAGGAAGCAGCUUGCUGCUUUGCUGACGAGUGGCGGACGGGUGAGUAAUGUCUGGGAAACUGCCUGAUGAAGGGGAUAACUACUGGAAACGGUAGCUAAUACCGCAUAACGUCGCAAGACCAAAGAGGGGGACCUUAGGGCCUCUUGCCAUCGGAUGUGCCCAGAUGGGAUUAGCUAGUAGGUGGGGUAACGGCUCACCUAGGCGACGAUCCCUAGCUGGUCUGAGAGGAUGACCAGCCACACUGGAACUGAGACACGGUCCAGACUCCUACGGGAGGCAGCAGUGGGGAAUAUUGCACAAUGGGCGCAAGCCUGAUGCAGCCAUGCCGCGUGUAUGAAGAAGGCCUUCGGGUUGUAAAGUACUUUCAGCGGGGAGGAAGGGAGUAAAGUUAAUACCUUUGCUCAUUGACGUUACCCGCAGAAGAAGCACCGGCUAACUCCGUG